UACCAAUCAGUGCUGUCUCCUGUGUUUGCUCAGUCCAAUCAUGAGUGUUAUUAGAGUAAUAUCCCAUUACUAAAGCUGUCCACCUGAGGAGACUGCAGGGCUCGUUGCUUCCUGACGCUCGUCACAUGAUCAGGAGGAGGUAGAGUUGGGGUUGACGGUGCCAAACCGGACCACCUGGUUGAGUUCGGUGCCUUUACUGACCGCCACACAGAUCAGAGGGUAGGUCUGCUCCGGGACCACCAGCAUCUCAAAGACCUCCAACGGACACGGCAACGGGAAGUCGAUGUUCUGUCGAGGAGAUGAGGAGACAAGAAGAGGAACUUCCUGGUGUGGAACAACUUACUGGAACGUCCUUCUUGUCUUUCCGUAUGGGGACACUAGGGGGCAUAGUGGACUGUCUGUCUGCUGGACCGUCCCUGUCUCCACUGUGUGGAGAGUUCAGCCCAUUACCUACAACAACAGACACAACUCAACAUGUGACAGAGACACUAAGAAAGAGAGAGUGUGGUGAAAAUAUGCAGCUGUGUGUCUGAGGAAGAAGCACCUCCCACGCCUCCUCCAGCUCCUCCUCUGUGUGAGGUGUGUGGAGCCACUCCCAGAAAUGCCUAAAGCUCCCAUCAUCCUCUGGGGCAGAGUGUUCCACGUCCGUGCGUUUGGGGCUCUCGUUAC